UACGUAGGGGGCAAGCGUUGUCCGGAAUCAUUGGGCGUAAAGCGCGUGUAGGCGGCCUUGUAAGUCCGUUCUGAAAGCCCGGGGCUCAACCCCGGGAGGCGGAUGGAUACUGCAAGGCUCGAGUACGGAAGAGGCGAGUGGAAUUCCCGGUGUAGCGGUGAAAUGCGCAGAUAUCGGGAGGAACACCAAUGGCGAAGGCGGCGAUCUGGGAAGAUACUGACGCUGAGGUGCGAAAGCGUGGGGAGCAAACAGG
rnacentral:rRNA from 1 species